ACGGUGCUGCCUGCCCUGCUCCACGGCGAGGCGGUGACCAUCGACAUGUCCUUCAUGCUGUUCGUGGCCCGGGAGCGCGGCCUGCUCACGGCCCAGCAGCAGCAGCGCGUGCUGGGCUGCAUGCGGGGGCUGGGGCUGCCGGUCCACCACGCGGCCUGCAGCCUGGGCCUGGUCCGCCAGGCGCUGGCCGGGCGGCUGAAGCACUCGGCCGGCUCCCUGAGGAUGCCCCUCCCCACGGGGCUGGGCAGGGCAGAUACAUGGACGUCUGGGGAUUGAACGCGGUGCCUUUCGGCUGACAGUUGACCACCCUUGCAACUAAUCUGUCCUCCGCCUGCCUGCUGAGGACAAUAGAGCAUCAUGGGGAGACCACAGACACCGCUUGUUCCUCCAUGUCGCUCCCUGCAUGGCCUGCACUCAAACUGACUUAUCAAAAGAUAUUCCAUGACAUCAGCGAUGAGACCGUGUGUGAGGCCUACAGUAAAUGGAACCAGGAGCUGUCAGCCCCAGAGGACAGCUGACGGCAUGGAGCUGUACUGUCGUCCCUGCAGUGUGGCGCAUCGAAUGGUCUCGCUGAGGCCAGAUCUCACGUGUUCAGUCUGGUGGAGCUUUGAGUGUUUUCUGUUCACUGACGCAUUUCGUAUUGAGUGGUGAUGCUGUAAAGACACUGAGGAACACAUGUGAGGGGGUUUCAAGGUAGAAACGAGACCUGAGGGGAGGACUCCAGGGAGAAUUACAGGAAACAGGAGAAUGUAGAGUGACCGUACAACGCAGAGUUAGCCUGUACAGGGGACUGUGCCUCAGUAUAACAUUGAUCUCCAGAUUUAUUGGUUGUAGGUUUUGGUUGAACUGCCUUUGUUCCCUCUUGAACAGGAAACAAACAAAAGCUGGUGAACAAACAACAACGACCAAUGGGCUGUGAACAUUCAAAUAAAACGUUUUAAUAUUUUUCCACAACAUUUUCACAUAGAGUACCAGUGAGUCGACGUUCAGAGACUCACCAUCCUUCAACCAGUAUGUGAACAUCGCCACGCACGUCUCUCUAACACACAUUCUAGGAACAUUAGCGACAGACUCUAUAAUACGACCCAGAGGAACCAGAACACGUUUAAUAAAGGUUACAAUUUGAACCAGCAGUGUCGUUUUCUUGUAGUGGUAAAUAGGUCUACCCAGAAUGCACCAUUAUAGAAUGUGUUUAACAGUUUCAACAAUUUCACGCGAUAUGAUAGCUUGAACAACCAAUGCUUUUGGCGAUGAUGACACAAGUGCUGAAUGAUUUAAAAGAAAAAAUACAGAAAUGUAGCUUAAGACCAUGUGCAACAGCACGGGCCUGCGUUUAUUGCUUCACUAUGG
ensembl:lncRNA